CAAAGAGGCAUCUUCUUACGACUGUAUGGAGUGUUUUUGUUAGUGCAAAAAGACUUGUUGCUGGUGACUCAGUCCUUUUUAUCUGGAAUGUGAAGAAUCAAUUGUUGUUGGGUAUACGGAGGACAAAUCGUCCUACUGUUAUGCCUUCUUCUGUUUUAUCAAGUGAUGGCAUGCACAUUGGUCUUCUUGCUGCAGCUGCAACCAAUAGCCGUUUUACUAUAUUUUUCAACCCAAGGGCUAGUCCUUCAGAGUUUGUGAUUCCUCUUGCCAAGUAUGAUAAAGCAGUCUACCAGACCCGGGUUUCUGCAGGUAUGCGGUUUAGACUGCUGUUUGAGACAGAAGAGUCAAAUGU